AUUUAAUAAUUUAUUAUUUAUUUGUAUUUAAAAUAUUAAAUAGUUUUAUUAUAUUUAAAAGAAAAAAUAUUUAUAAUUAUAGUUUAUUAGUAUAGUGAUAGAAAAUAUUUAAAUAUUAAAAAGAAUAUUUUAUUUUUAGUACCUUGGGUAUCAGGGUUGAUUAAUAAAUAAUAAUAGAUUUUAUAUUCUCGAAAAAAUUAAGAGCUAAUUUUAUAUAAAUAUUAAUGUAGAAUUAUUGUUUAAAAUAUAUUAUUAGUAAUGAAACGUUAUUCGUUUUUUUUGAUAUCUAGUUACUUAAGAAAUAUAUUUAAUAUAGUUUUUAAUUUAAAAUAUAAUAAUUUUAAAUGUUAUUUUAAAUUAAAAUGUAAUAUUUUAAGGGUUGAGCUUUAAAUUAAAUUAUUAUAAGUAAAUUUAUUAUUUAAAAUUAAAUAGAAUUAGAAUUUUUUAUUUUUAUUAAUAUGUUAUAAUUAAGUUUUAUUUUAAUUUUAUUUAUAUUUAUUUUAAUUUGUAUAUUAAGUAGUAUAAUUUAAUUUUUUAAUUAUAGUUAUUAUGAUUAAAUUAGUAUUAUUUUAUGUAUAUAGUAUUUAUUAAAGUUAGGUUUAGAUAAGGAAUUCGGCAAAUAUUUUUUUCACCUGUUUAUUAAAAACAUGUCCUUUUGAAUAUGAUUUAAGGUCUAGCCUGCUCAAUGAUUUAUUAAAUAGCUGCAGUAUUUUGACUGUACAAAGGUAGCAUAAUCAUUAGUUUUUUAAUUGAAAGCUUGUAUGAAUGGCUGAAUGAGAAAAAGACUGUCUAUCUAGAAUUAUAAAAGAAUUUUAUUUUUAAGUUAAAAAGCUUAAAUGUUAUUAAAAGACGAGAAGACCCUAUAGAGUUUAAUUAAAAUUAUAUUUUUAUUAUUAAAGAAUUUUAUAUUUGGGAGUAUAAUUUUUAAUUUGAUUGGGGUGAUCUUAAAAUUUAAAAAACUUUUAGAAAUUUUUAACAUUGAUGAAUGAGUUUAUGAUCCAUUAUUAGUGAUUAGUAGAUUAAAUUACCUUAGGGAUAACAGCGUAAUUUUUUUGGAGAGUUCUUAUUGAUAAAAAAGAUUGCGACCUCGAUGUUGGAUUAAAAUUAACUAUUGGCGCAGAAGUUGAUGGGUUGGGUCUGUUCGACCUUUAAAAUUUUACAUGAUCUGAGUUUAAACCGGUGUGAGCCAGGUUGGUUUCUAUCUUUAAUUGGUUAGUAUAUUUUAGUACGAGAGGACCGAAUAUAUAUAAAAUUUAUUUUUAAUUAGAUUAAUAUUAAAAU
rnacentral:rRNA from 1 species